AAAUAAUUUACGUUUUUUAACUAAAAUGCGAAAAAGCAAUUCUAAACCGAGAAAAGCAAAAUGUAUGUUUUCCUUCUAUUCCUAUUUAUUACUGAUACCAUCACAGCCACCGUCAAUGUGAAACCACUUGAAGUUGACCAAAAACACCAUUUUGAAAAGCGUGAUCUUAAUUCCAUCAUCAAUAUGUUACCAAUGGAACUUCAUCUUCAUGGUUACCGCUUUUGUGGGCCUGGUACGCGACUCUCCAAAAAACUAGACCUAGAGGGCAUUAAUGAAUUAGAUAACGCAUGUAAAGAACACGAUAUCGCAUAUUCGGAAUCUUCGGAUUUGGACGAACGAUCUAAAGCCGAUAUGGUUUUAGAACGCAAAGCUUGGGAACGUGCAAUAGCAAAGGAUGCCAGCAGUUGUGAAAAAAUGAGUGCUUUGGUGGUGACUAGACUUAUUAAAACAAAAAGAAUAUCAGAAAUCGGACGCAUCAAGAAUCCGUUGAGCGAUAUGGACAAUUAUUUUUCUUUUGAGGAAAUAGAAAAAAUGCACCGGGACAUGCAUUUAGCUUUUAAAACUUCGCUCUCAAGUCUGAUACAUACAGAAAACUGUCGUAAACGGAAGAAAUAAGGAAGGUACCAAGAGGUUUUCAAAAAGUCACCAAUACUUACUUGUCAUAUAUUUACAUAUGAAAAUUAAGAUUGUUGUUUAAGCACAAGUGCUAAAAUUAUUAUUUACGGUACUACAAUAAUUAUGAAAUAAUAAAAAUAACUCGUGAAGCGUUUGGUAAUAAGAGUUGAGUCUUUGGAUCAGCAAAAAUUAUUUUUAAUCUUAACGUUUUUCUUAACAAAAUAUUACUAACACGAAUUGAUGAACAUAUGCAAAAUCUCUGUGAUUCUUUCGCACUUAUUCCCUACAUUACAUACUAGGUGGGCAACCCUAUCGCGCACCUAAGAAAAUUGCGAUUUCUAAUUAAAUAAAAAAAUAUUGCAUUUUACGAACCUGACUGUACGUUCGAAAGGUAUCUCCCUUAAUUUUUUGGUAAUUUUUCACUUGCACAUAAAAAUAAUAGUUAAAAAAAAUUUUCGACCAAAAAACCAAAUUCUCAAUUUUAUACUAAACCACGCGUUUUCACUUCAGAUAAUUGUUUACGAAAUUAGCGAAGAAAAAUACCAAUCAGGUUUUGAAUUAAAAGCACUUUUACAUUUUAACUUUAAAAAUUAUUUUUAUAUAUGUGUUGCUACUUGUGGCGUCGUAAAUUUAGGUGACAAUGUGAACUGUAAUUGGGGUAAGAUUGUAAAAGAUUUCGUUGGGAUAUUUGAAUGCAGGCAUCAGUUUUAUUGCAAAAUUGUAAAUAAGGGGCUUCAAAAAGGUCGGCUACUGGUAACUGAUCCCUUUGUUGGCAAAUUAUACCAUCUUCUAAUAAAUCACGCGUCUGGUUUGCAUCUAAAUAAAAAAGACCGAUUAUUUCACCAACCAAGUAAAAAUUUAUAAUUUCGAUACUAACGUUCGAUGGGCUAGCAGGUAAGGAUUCGUUUAGUCUAAAAGCUUUGUAGUUAAAUCAACAGUUAGUGCCCAAAAACUCAUAAAACUGCUACGACGUUAUUUAUUUACAAAAAAUUUUAAUAAAAAUCGAGACUGGUCCUUAUCAAUGUACAGGCUGGUGUGUAAAAUUUCAAAAUUUUUUUUUCAUUAGAAGUCACGAUUUUCUUGGGUGCGCGAUAAGGUUGCCCCACCAAGUAUUUUUAUGCGCGCAUAUCUGCUUAUAGCUUCACUCAACAAUUGAAGUGUGUGUGAUCAAAAUAUGCUGAAAUAAAAUUUUGGGAUUUAUUUUUUACGAUUAAAUUUUUACUUUCGUGUGUAUCAUUAAAAAACUUUUGUUUAAAGACUAUAAGUUUUUUAAUGAUGCAGUAAAUGAUUUCGGUUUUAAAUUUUUGCUAAAAUUCAAAUAAAAAGUUUGAGUGUGUUUUUAUGAUUGCAAAAGUAUAAAUGAAGAAAAUAGUCCUAUUUAAUUUAUUAGAAAAUUGGAAACGCAAAAAUGAAUUCUAACUGUGUGGUUCUACUCUUUUUUGGUGUCGCAGUUAUCGCUAGUAACAGUGUGGCUAUCGAGCAGCCAAAGGCAGAAUCAAGUUUAAAAAAUGCCGUUCAGCCCAUUUCUAAGCCAGAGGUAUGUAUGCAACAAGAUAAUAUAACUACGCUUAAAUAAAACAUUUUGUUUGAACAGCCAAGAGAAGAAGCGAAACCAAAAAGUGCAGAUCAACCAAAGUCUGAUGCAAAAAAUGCAGUUCAAGCUAAUAAGACUAAAAUAGUGACAACUGAUGCAUUAGGUCCUAUUAACACAAUUCAGCCCAGGAUGGAAUGUAGCCCUCACAAUGGCCACUACUUUAUGAUAAAAAAUCCACAAACUGGUCUGGUUUUGAACGCUUGCGAGAAAGACAUAAAACUUGAGCGACCUGCUAAGACACAGUCACAAAUGUGGACGCUACAAAUGGCAGGAUUCGGAAAAUUCUAUUUUGUUAAUCGUGCCACAGGAAAUGUUUUGGAUAUACAAGGUGGUGGUCGUGCUGGUGCUAGAUUAAUCACCUAUCCGAAACAUUGUGGGCCAAAUCAGCAAUGGUAUAUUCACAAUUGUGGUCAGAUUGCUAGUGUCAUUAAGGACCUUGUUGUUGGAAUAGAGGUCAUUAGAGGAGGAAAUCUGUGUGGAAGUCGUGCUUUAAUCGCAACUUCUAGACGAGGAAGCCAAAAUCAGGUGUUCGAGUUUGUGCCUGUGUAAUUAUGUUGUAAUACCUAAUUAAAGCAUCGCUUCAAGUUAAAUAAAGUUAUUCAUUGAG